GAUGAACGCUGGCGGCGUGCCUAAUACAUGCAAGUCGAGCGAACAGACGAGGAGCUUGUUCCUCUGACGUUAGCGGCGGACGGGUGAGUAACACGUGGAUAACCUACCUAUAAGACUGGGAUAACUUCGGGAAACCGGAGCUAAUACCGGAUAAUAUAUUGAACCGCAUGGUUCAAUAGUGAAAGACGGUUUUGCUGUCACUUAUAGAUGGAUCCGCGCCGCAUUAGCUAGUUGGUAAGGUAACGGCUUACCAAGGCGACGAUGCGUAGCCGACCUGAGAGGGUGAUCGGCCACACUGGAACUGAGACACGGUCCAGACUCCUACGGGAGGCAGCAGUAGGGAAUCUUCCGCAAUGGGCGAAAGCCUGACGGAGCAACGCCGCGUGAGUGAUGAAGGUCUUCGGAUCGUAAAACUCUGUUAUUAGGGAAGAACAAAUGUGUAAGUAACUAUGCACGUCUUGACGGUACCUAAUCAGAAAGUCACGGCUAACUACGUG
rnacentral:rRNA from 1 species